AUUGAACGCUGGCGGCAUGCCUUACACAUGCAAGUCGAACGGUAACAGGUCUUCGGAUGCUGACGAGUGGCGAACGGGUGAGUAAUACAUCGGAACGUGCCCAGACGUGGGGGAUAACGAGGCGAAAGCUUUGCUAAUACCACAUACGAUCUAAGGAUGAAAGCAGGGGACCGCAAGGCCUUGUGCGUUUGGAGCGGCCGAUGGCAGCUUAGGUAGGUGGUGGGAUAAAAGCUUACCAAGCCGACGAUCUGUAGCUGGUCUGAGAGGACGACCAGCCACACUGGGACUGAGACACGGCCCAGACUCCUACGGGAGGCCGCAGUGGGGAAUUUUGGACAAUGGGCGAAAGCCUGAUCCAGCAAUGCCGCGUGCAGGAUGAAGGACUUCGGGUUGUAGACUGCUUUUGUACGUAGCGAAAAGGCUCUGGCUAAUACCUGGAGCACAUGACGGUACCGUAAGAAUAAGCACCGGCUAACUACGUG
rnacentral:rRNA from 1 species